rnacentral:rRNA from 1 species
UAUUGGACAAUGGGGGGAACCCUGAUCCAGCCAUGCCGCGUGUGUGAAGAAGGCCUUAUGGUUGUAAAGCACUUUAAGCGAGGAGGAGGCUCUCUUGGUUAAUACCCAAGAUGAGUGGACGUUACUCGCAGAAUAAGCACCGGCUAACUCUGUGCCAGCAGCCGCGGUAAUACAGAGGGUGCGAGCGUUAAUCGGAUUUACUGGGCGUAAAGCGUGCGUAGGCGGCUUUUUAAGUCGGAUGUGAAAUCCCCGAGCUUAACUUGGGAAUUGCAUUCGAUACUGGGAAGCUAGAGUAUGGGAGAGGAUGGUAGAAUUCCAGGUGUAGCGGUGAAAUGCGUAGAGAUCUGGAGGAAUACCGAUGGCGAAGGCAGCCAUCUGGCCUAAUACUGACGCUGAGGUACGAAAGCAUGGGGAGCAAACAGG